rnacentral:rRNA from 2 species
GAUGAACGCUAGCUACAGGCUUAACACAUGCAAGUCGAGGGGCAGCAUGGAAGAAGCUUGCUUCUUCUGAUGGCGACCGGCGCACGGGUGCGUAACGCGUAUCAAACCUGCCUCAUACUCGGGGAUAGCCUUGCGAAAGUAAGAUUAAUACCCGAUGUUGUUAUGUUACCGCAUGGUGAUAUAACCAAAGAUUUAUCGGUAUGAGAUGGUGAUGCGUCCGAUUAGGUAGUAGGCGGGGUAACGGCCCACCUAGCCUUCGAUCGGUAGGGGUUCUGAGAGGAAGGUCCCCCACACUGGAACUGAGACACGGUCCAGACUCCUACGGGAGGCAGCAGUGAGGAAUAUUGGUCAAUGGACGAAAGUCUGAACCAGCCACUUAGCGUGCAGGAUGACGGCCCUCUGGGUUGUAAACUGCUUUUAGUUGGGAAUAAAAAAGAGGACGUGUCCUCUAUUGUAUGACCUCAGAAAAAGG